rnacentral:rRNA from 1 species
GCGACGCGUAGACAACCUGCCUUCUACUGGGGGAUAGCCCGGCGAAAGCUGGGGUAAACCCGCACGGUCUCAUUGACUCACCUGAGUUGAUGAGUAAACAUUUAUGGGUAGAAGAGGGGCUUGCGUCUGAUUAGCUAGUUGGCGGGGUAACGGCCCACCAAGGCGAUGAUCAGUAGGGGUUCUGAGAGGAUUGGCCCCCACAUGGGUACUGAGAUACGGACCCA